AAAGAACAAAGUAAGAGGACUCUUGUUAGCUGGUUUUACAAAUAUUUGUGCUGAUGUUCAGACAGAGGUGUUAUUAGAAACCAAAUAUUUAAAGACAAAGAGACGUGAACCUUCAGGGAAUUCGAGGAGAGAGCACUGGCAACAAAACACUCUUUUUCUUAAAUUUGACCUUUUUAGGCCUCUUCAGUGGUUCAAUGAUGAUCAUUUAUUUUAGUUAUACUGCAGGAAUGUCAGUCUUGUGACUAAAGCUUGGACAUAAGGUUGAUUUUUAGGAACAUUAAUCGGACUGAUGACACUCAGAGGUAAAACAUCCUCAGACUCCAAGAGAGGAAGAGGAAACCUGAUCAAAUAUAACAGUCCUGAUUUACUCGUCACCUCCUCGUCUCCAGGUAACUCGUAACAUUUACAGUGAAGGAGGGAACUUCUUCUUUUGGUCCUGGACGUUACACAACCGUCGAGGAUUCCCUGAAGCGUUUCGGUUCAUCGGGACCGACAUGAACCGAUAAAUCAGACGACAGAGUGAGAUCUUCACCGGAGGAUAAAUAAAGCGUCUCUCCUCUUGGGAUGCUGGAUCAUGAUCCACGCUCUGGGAUUUAACUCUGUGGUCGUUUACUCCUCCAGGACUCGUUUCAGAGGCUCCAGCUGGAUUUGAGCUGAAGUGGACAAAUCUCAUUCUUGAACAAGCUGAACUCCAGCCUGAGCUGUGAGCAGAGAGGGAGCGAUAAGGAGCCGGCUGAGGGAGCACUGACGGAGCUGCCACCUUGCAGGAGAGAGGCUGCGUGGACGGAGCGAAGCAUCAUUUCCCUCGGCUCCAAUGAACGCCUGAGGAAGAGAGCCUCAUCUCGUCUGCAGGGACUUGAGAUUUGCACAAGUACGGGUAUGAAUUUGAUCUUUUAUU